rnacentral:lncRNA from 1 species
CUCAGCUCUAUCUGUCUCAGAGAUAUUUGCUCCACGGACACACACACACCUGUGGGAACCGGGUCUCAAAUCAGGUUCAAAUAAACUCAAAUCAUAUUCAAUCACUAUGGCAAUCCAACGAGUGUCUGCAACCCUUGGCAAUUUAGUGAAAGACGUCUACAACAAGGAAGGCUGUAAUUUGCUGCAAAAAGUCUCUUUGAUGAUGACACUAAGGGGAAGAUUGAAGAACUCCAGCUAUUAGCCAGACUCCGAAAGACCUGGGCCAGUAUGCCAGAGAUAAAGUAUCCACUGUGGCUUUGACAGAGGCACAAACUGCCUCUGUCAAAGCCACAUUCCAGUGUGUUAUAUGCAGAGGUUAGUAAAAUACUUGUUUGUAUUAAUACCAUUUCCUUAAAUACUUUAACAAAGUUUGAAAAAUAAAACCUGUCUUCAUGCACA